CUACGGGCCGCUGCAGUGAGGAAUAUUGCACAAUGGGGGGAACCCUGAUGCAGCAACGCCGCGUGGAGGAUGACGCAUUUCAGUGUGUAAACUCCUUUUAUAUGUCAAGAAAAUGACGGUAGCAUAUGAAUAAGCACCGGCUAACUCCGUGCCAGCAGCCGCGGUAAUACGGAGGGUGCAAGCGUUACUCGGAAUCACUGGGCGUAAAGGACGCGUAGGCGGGUUGGAAAGUCAGGUGUGAAAUCCUACAGCUUAACUGUAGAACUGCACUUGAAACUUCUAAUCUAGAGUAUGGGAGGGGGAGAUGGAAUUAGUGGUGUAGGGGUAAAAUCCGUAGAUAUCACUAGGAAUACCUAAAGCGAAGGCGAUCUCCUGGAACAUUACUGACGCUAAGGCGUGAAAGCGUGGGGAGCAAACAGGAUUAGAUACCCGAGUAGUC
rnacentral:rRNA from 1 species